rnacentral:rRNA from 1 species
ACGCUCGACACCUACUGGAGGCAGCAGUCGGGAAUAUUGCGCAAUGGAGGAAACUCUGACGCAGUGACGCCGCGUAUAGGAAGAAGGUUUUCGGAUUGUAAACUAUUGUCGUUAGGGAAGAAAAAGGACAGUACCUAAGGAGGAAGCUCCGGCUAACUACGUGCCAGCAGCCGUGGUACGUAUGAGGCGGCGUGNGAGAG